rnacentral:rRNA from 2 species
AUGAACGCUAGCUACAGGCUUAACACAUGCAAGUCGAGGGGAAACGACAUCGAAAGCUUGCUUUUGAUGGGCGUCGACCGGCGCACGGGUGAGUAACGCGUAUCCAACCUGCCCACCACUUGGGGAUAACCUUGCGAAAGUAAGACUAAUACCCAAUGAUAUCUCUAGAAGACAUCUGAAGGAGAUUAAAGAUUUAUCGGUGAUGGAUGGGGAUGCGUCUGAUUAGCUUGUUGGCGGGGUAACGGCCCACCAAGGCGACGAUCAGUAGGGGUUCUGAGAGGAAGGUCCCCCACAUUGGAACUGAGACACGGUCCAAACUCCUACGGGAGGCAGCAGUGAGGAAUAUUGGUCAAUGGACGAGAGUCUGAACCAGCCAAGUAGCGUGCAGGAUGAGGGCCCUAUGGGUUGUAAACUGCUUUUAUAAGGGAAUAAAGUGAGUCUCGUGAGACUUUUUGCAUGUACCUUAUGAAUAAGGACCGGCUAAUUCCGUGCCAGCAGCCGCGGUAAUACGGAAGGUCCGGGCGUUAUCCGGAUUUAUUGGGUUUAAAGGGAGCGUAGGCCGGAGAUUAAGCGUGUUGUGAAAUGUAGACGCUCAACGUCUGCACUGCAGCGCGAACUGGUUUCCUUGAGUACGCACAAAGUGGGCGGAAUUCGUGGUGUAGCAGUGAAAUGCUUAGAUAUCACGAAGAACUCCGACUGCGAAGGCAGCUCACUGGAGCGCAACUGACGCUGAAGCUCGAAAGUGCGGGUAUCGAACAGGAUUAGAUACCCUGGUAGUCCGCACGGUAAACGAUGGAUGCCCGCAGUUGGUCUGAAUAGGUCAGCGGCCA